GAGGGUGUGGGGUUACAAAUAGUAAAUGGUCUGUUUGAGGAACAGGAAGGUCGUGUAGAGGAUGAUGAGAGGGAGAUGGAUGCUCUUGAGGCUAACCUGUUGAAGAGCGGUUUCGAUUUGGGGGCGGAAGAGGAUUUUCAAACUCUUUCGGAGGAAGAGGCUGAGAAAGCUUUGACCAAGGGAGAUGAGGUCCCUAUACAAGAAGAGGGUCUAGUGGAGAGUGAUACUAACGAGGGAGAAAGAAAGGGAGCAGGGGACGGACCGUCGAAGCAAGGGAAUCGAAAGCGACUAUUUAAGCCUACUUCGAGCACUGCAGGAAGCACCAAGAUGCGCAUUGCUAAUGCUCUGGUUAAGCGUGCUGCUUCCAAGGGAGCUACGCGUUACGGAGACAACAGCAAGCUACCGGAGACCAAGGGAACUUCAAACCCGAAAGCGCCAAAUCAAAAAUCCUAAGUUUUAUGGAUCAGGUUUUAUUAGCACUUCAUCUAUGCAAGGAAGGUGGGGUUUGCGGGAAAGAAGUUUUAAUGUAUUCUGUGGGAACCAAAAUUCGCACUGUCGAUUUCCGUUUAAAUUAGGAAAGUUAGGAAACUCUUUGGGUAUUGUCCUCUUUGCUCCAGUCUAUGCCAUAAGGAGGAAAAGUGUUCUCUAUAUGUGAAGAACACAGUGAAGAGUCCAGAGAGGAAGCGGGAGAGCAAAGAGGAGAAUAGAGGAUGGUCUGACGGGGGGAAGCAUGAUGAGAGAGCCAGGAGUUACAAAGGAGUAGUUAUUAAUGAUAAUGUGGCUCCACAAAACAAGGACAGAAGAGGUCGGGAUUAUUAUGGAAAGGGCAAGGGGAAGAUGUAUGAGGGAUCAGAGGCAAAGUGGGUCAAGGCAGCAGAGAGAAGUAACACAAGAGGCGCUCAUCAUCACGGCAAACACAGAGGUGAUAGCGAGGGAUCAAGCCACAAAACUUAUAGAAGGGAGGAGGUACGAUCUGGUGAUCAGGAGACGCGUAUUAGGCCCUCUUCUGGUCAGACAAGAGCUCAACGGAAUCCCAUUGUCACACGAGAGGAGGCUAGAGAGGAAGGAGAGUUUAAGGUCUCUGAUGAGAGCUCGUUGAAUCCACCUUCUCAGGAGUUCCAGUUGGAGUUAGCUAGGACUCAAGCAGAGGGAACAAAGGUAGUCUCGGAUCCUACUUAUGAGGGUGUGGGGUUACAAAUAGUAAAUGGUCUGUUUGAGGAACAGGAAGGUCGUGUAGAGGAUGAUGAGAGGGAGAUGGAUGCUCUUGAGGCUAACCUGUUGAAGAGCGGUUUCGAUUUGGGGGCGGAAGAGGAUUUUCAAACUCUUUCGGAGGAAGAGGCUGAGAAAGCUUUGACCAAGGGAGAUGAGGUCCCUAUACAAGAAGAGGGUCUAGUGGAGAGUGAUACUAACAAGGGAGAAAGCAAGGGACCAGGGGAUGCACCGUCGAAGCAAGGGAAUCGAAAGCGACUAUUUAAGCCUACUUCGAGCACUGCAGGAAGCACCAAGAUGCGCAUUGCUAAUGCUCUGGUUAAGCGUGCUGCUUCCAAGGGAGCUACGCGUUACGGAG
rnacentral:lncRNA from 1 species